GACGAACGCUGGCGGCGUGCUUAACACAUGCAAGUCGAGCGGAAAGGCCCUGCUUUUGUGGGGUGCUCGAGUGGCGAACGGGUGAGUAACACGUGAGUAACCUGCCCUUGACUUUGGGAUAACUUCAGGAAACUGGGGCUAAUACCGGAUAGGAGCUCCUGCUGCAUGGUGGGGGUUGGAAAGUUUCGGCGGUUGGGGAUGGGCUCGCGGCUUAUCAGCUUGUUGGUGGGGUAGUGGCUUACCAAGGCUUUGACGGGUAGCCGGCCUGAGAGGGUGACCGGCCACAUUGGGACUGAGAUACGGCCCAGACUCCUACGGGAGGCAGCAGUGGGGAAUAUUGCACAAUGGGCGGAAGCCUGAUGCAGCAACGCCGCGUGCGGGAUGACGGCCUUCGGGUUGUAAACCGCUUUCGCCUGUGACGAAGCGUGAGUGACGGUAAUGGGUAAAGAAGCACCGGCUAACUACGUG
rnacentral:rRNA from 1 species